rnacentral:tmRNA from 1 species
GGAGAUGCCCAGGAUUUGACUGAAAUUCACUAAUUAUAAGAGCAAGCCGGAGUGCUGUGCUUCGCAAAAUACAGCAAAAAUAUAAAUGCCGAAGAUAAUGACUUCGCAUACGCUGGUGUAGCGGUUCCCGCUUACGCUAGUGUAGCAGCCUAACUUAGUUAGUCUGCAGAUUCUAAACCGUUUGCCCGGAAAGGGCUUUAGAGUCUAAUAAAACCGGGAUGAGGCUGCUUAUAGGGAUAGUCUGAUUGUUUGUGCCGAGGAAAUUAAUUCCAAAAGGGUAAAACCCGACAGACUUGCUGUAGGAAUAGGUCCGCUAAAUACCAUUCCUACUUAAGAUAAAUUUAGCUAAGCUUGUAGUGCUUAUAUGCGGUAUUUUCAGGACG